rnacentral:rRNA from 1 species
AGAUUGAACGCUGGCGGCAUGCCUAACACAUGCAAGUCGAACGGGAGUAGCAAUACUCUAGUGGCGGACGGGUGAGGAAUACGUAGGAAUUUGCCCUUAAGUGGGGGAUAACCCGGGAACCCGGAUUAAUACCGCAUGACCUCGAGAGAGCAAGGUGGGGGAUCGCAAGACCUCACGCUUUUGGAGAAGCCUACGUCGGAUUAGCUAGUUGGUGAGGUAAUGGCUCACCAAGGCGACGAUCCGUAACUGGUCUGAGAGGAUGAUCAGUCACACCGGAACUGAGACACGGUCCGGACUCCUACGGGAGCAGCAGUGGGAAUAGUGGACAAGUGGACGCAAGCCUGAUCCAGCAAUGCCGCGUGUGUGAAGAAGGCCUUCGGUUAGUAAGACUACGUUAAGUUAGGAAGAAAAACGUACGACGUACUAACAACACGUAGAGUACUGACGUAACCGACAAGAAUAAGACACCGGCUAACUACUGUGCCAGCAGCCGACGGUAAC